rnacentral:rRNA from 1 species
GAUGAACGCUGGCGGCGUGCCUAAUACAUGCAAGUCGAGCGGUAAGGCCUCCUCGGAGGUACACGAGCGGCGGACGGCUGAGUAACACGUAGGAACGUACCCCAAAGUGAGGGAUAAGCACCAGAAAUGGUGUCUAAUACCGCAUGUGAUCUAAGGAUUAAAGCUCCGGCGCUUUGGGAACGGCCUGCGUAAGAUUAGCUUGUUGGUGAGGUAAUGGCUCACCAAGGCGACGAUCUUUAGCUGGUCUGAGAGGAUGAUCAGCCAGACUGGGACUGAGACACGGCCCAGACUCCUACGGGAGGCAGCAGUAGGGAAUUUUCCACAAUGGGGGCAACCCUGAUGGAGCAACGCCGCGUGCAGGAUGAAGGCCUUCGGGUUGUAAACUGCUUUUAUCUGUGACGAAUAUGACGGUAGCAGAUGAAUAAGGAUCGGCUAACUCCGUGCCAGCCGCCGCCGUAA